CUUAAAGCUUUCUAAUCAUAUCUCAUCUGUUUGCAUCACACCGGAUUGGAUUGACAACCUAAAAUACUACAACAACAUGAUAGUGUUUUAGGAUUAAUUAAGUAAAAUC
rnacentral:sRNA from 1 species